rnacentral:tRNA from 1 species
GUCGGGAUAGCUCAUUUGGUAGAGCAGAGGACUGAAAAUC